rnacentral:miRNA from 1 species
UGCGUGGCGGUAUCUCUGGACGG